AGGGGCAGAGGAAAAGCAGGGGGAAGCUGGCACUGCGAUAAUCCUGGACUCGAAGCUGCAUUACUGUGCAAGGACACCCAUGCGUGGUCGAUAAGCAGUCUGAAGGGGUAGAGGAAAAGCAGAGGGAAGCUGGCACUGUGAUAAUCCUGGACUCGAAGCUGCAUUACUGUGCAAGGACACCCAUGUGUGGUCGAUAAGCAGUCUGAAGAUUGCAGAUAUGAGGAUGCAAGUAAAAGAGGACAUUAACUUCAGUGGCAGUUUUAGGAGUAAGAUUCAGCGCAUGAAGUUGCUCCAGAGCUGAGCGUAAUCCUGGUAGUUGAGCUGCGAAAGGUCGCACACUUGCAACACGAUCAGUCCAUCUUGUACCUGACAGGCAGUGCAGUGAGGAUCCAAUAUUUUCUUGAAGAUUUGACCAUCGCUGAGGACUGGAGGAAAAUAGAUUGUACACCGUUUGUACUAUACUUCAAUUUUUUUCGGCCCCCAAAAUGGCCCGGACCCCGGGCCCCGGCUACCCCCCACCCCCUCUCGGCGGCCCUGGUGUUUAUAGAUACCUGUUCAUUUAUUAAUCUCAUCUCUGAUACAUCUCUCUCUUUGACUCUUUCUCUCUCAUCCUCUCUUAUUCUCUCUCUCUCUCACCCUGUCUCUUCCUCUCUUAUUCUCUCACUCUCACUCUCCCCCUACUCUUCCUCUCUUAUUCUCUCUCUCUCUUUCUCUAUUUUAUUUAUAUACAAUACACUUUACAGUACAAUAAACUUUACAAUACGCUUUACUGCGAUUGUGAUUUGCGAAGUUCUAGCUUCGCCUGGGCCUUCGGCUAUGGCCCGGCCUAAACGCUUUACUAUUAAAUUAUUUACUAUUAAAAAAAGGAGAAAUCAGAGAGGUUUACUUAUAAGGAAUUGUACUUACA